AUUUGAACCACUUUACAUUCACACCACUCUACAUUUGCAUCACUUUAUAUUUGCAUCACUUUACAUUCGCAGCACUUUACAUUCACGCCACUUUACAUUCGCAUCACUUUACAUUCACGCCAGUUUACAUUUGAACCACUUUACAUUCACAUCACUUUACAUUCACACCACUUUACAUGCAUCACUUUACAUUCACACCACUUUAUAUUCACGCCAGUUUACAUUAGAACCACUU